rnacentral:sRNA from 1 species
CAUUAAAAGGAAAGAUCAAGGAGUAAACCAAAAGAAGAAGAAAAAGAGGACUUCAAAGCUGGGAAGGAUGAGUUCUUGCAGCAACGUCUGUGGGUCCAGGCAGGCACAGGCUGCAGCUGAGGGCGGGUACCAGCGCUAUGGAGUCCGGUCCUACCUGCACCAGUUUUAUGAGGACUGUACAGCCUCAAUCUGGGAGUAUGAGGAUGAUUUCCAGAUCCAAAGAUCACCUAACAGGUGGAGCUCAGUAUUCUGGAAGCACAGAAUCUAAUUCACAGGAGAAGCUCAAUGAAUGUUUGCUGAAUUGAGGUGUUUGAGUUGAAGAAACUGCAAUAAUUGUUCUCAGUAAACAGACCUCCUUGUGACCUGCACCAAUCCAUAUGAUACUG